rnacentral:rRNA from 1 species
UACGAAGGGGACUAGCGUUGUUCGGAAUCACUGGGCGUAAAGCGCACGUAGGCGGAUGUGUCAGUCAGGGGUGAAAUCCCGGGGCUCAACCUCGGAACUGCCUUUGAUACAGCACGUCUCGAGUCCGGAAGAGGUGGGUGGAAUUCCUAGUGUAGAGGUGAAAUUCGUAGAUAUUAGGAAGAACACCAGUGGCGAAGGCGGCUCACUGGCCCGGUACUGACGCUGAGGUGCGAAAGCGUGGGGAGCAAACAGG